AUAUAUAUAUAUAAUAGAAACAAAGUUUGUAUAAAAAAAAAAAAAGAAACUAAGUAAUCAGAUUGAGAUAUAAAAAGGGUAGAUUGAGAUUAAAAAAAAGAAAGAAAAAAAAAACACUACCCUUUCGUAAAAAAGAAAAGUAGAAAACCCUUGUCAUUCCGAUUUCAAUUUUUUCACAAGGUGAAGUUCUGCGUUUUCUCCCGCAACUACAACAACAACUGCGAGCGAUAACGAAAUGGGGUUCUUCUCCUUCUGCUGGCUCGUUUACUCUUUGAUUCACUCUUCGUCCUCCCCGCACGGCAGAUUUCAGAUCUCUCUAUCUCUUCGUUCUCCACAGCGUAGCGUUGUUCCCUGUUCAAGUGCUCAUUGCUAACCACCGGCGCCGUGUUUCUCCUAUUUUUCGUUCUUCUUCUCAUUGUGGGCUCUUCUUCUUAUAUAAGAGAUUAUUUGUAGCGGGUUGAAGAGCAAUGGUGUUUGUUUUGGUCAAAGUAGAUAUUCUGCAGAAGAAUGAAUUGGGUUGCAACAAAACCUACAAAAAGGAAUCAAAAUUGGAGCAUGAUGCCACACUUCAGUUCAUUUUUAGGUUUUGGGGUGGUUCAGGUACCAAAGCUAUUUCUGUUAUUUUAGGACUUGGUGUGGUUUAGGUGCCAAAGUUAAUUUUAAUUGUGAAGCUUUUGAAUCUUAACUGGAACAACUAUUGUUACUCCAUAUGACCAAAGUAAAUCCUAAUUCUCUUUGUUUUUCUUGUUUUCCUUUGAAAAUAAUGGUAGCUAACUCCUUGUUGGGUUGUUUCUUAAUUUCAGUUUGUUUUUGAUGAGCAGGCAUUAGGGAUGAGCAUAGAUCAGUUUAUGUGAGAAACUCCAACUGAACCCAACUGAACUGGUAAACCAGUUUGUCAAACCCAACCGAACUGUUUUUCGUGCAGCUUUGAACCAAACUGAACUGGAAUUUCAGUUCCAGUGUACCAGUUUUAACAUUGUCAUAUGUUUUUCAAGAAUCUAAAGCCUUUUAUUACUUUUGCUUAUUUAUCCCAAUGGGGACUAAGAAGGGUCACUUUCAUUGCAUAUAUUAGUUAUCCACAAAAUAGGGUUCUUUUUAAGUGUAGUGGAGUAGCAUAUUUGAAGCUUACACUUGACACUAUUGUUUUUACUGUUGUUUUUCAUAGAGGAAGGUGUCUUGUGUUUUGCAAUUAGGUUAUAAACAAUCUAUUUAAAACAUAGAAGCCUCUUGACGAUAUAUUGUAGACCAAAGUCAAUUAGUGUUGUUUUAUUUCUUGUCUAUGCACAUAACAUUGAAUUGGAUUUUGGUACUUCUGUUUCUACUUAUAUUUGUUUCUUCUAUUUCCUCUUAACUGAGUUAUUGUAUCUUCAGUGCUAUCAAGCUUGAUGUUUUCCUUCUCAAUUAUGUGAAUGUUGUAUUAACUUGAUGAUUUAGAUUCAGUUACAUUAUGCAAUAAUAGUAUUUUCCACUUUGUGAUAUAAUUUUAUACUUGUUUGCCAGGUUUGAUGAAAACAAUUCAGCGGAAGCGGUUAUGAGAGUUCAUUGUGGUUAUUGAUGAGGUUGCAAUGUAGAGACAACAACAUAUGGACUAUGGAGAAGCUGUACAAGGCCAACCAUGUCGGGGGGAGUACGAACAUUAUCUACGGUGAAAAUGGAUUAUGAUCAAAGAAAGGUUGGAAUUGAUAAUGAUCAUUGAAAGAAAGGGAUUAUGUCCAAUUUUAGUUGUAUUUAUGGUUGAGUAAAUAUUGUCUUAACUUGUAUUUGAGAAGUCAUGGGAGCACAAACCAUGACUUUAGGUUUUUAUAGUAGGAGGUACUUUUUAGUAUCCAUAGAAUGGAGGUAAUCCACUAUGCAUUUAUGUAAAACUACAAACAUUUGAAUAAAGGAUCAUGUAUUUGCCUCACUUUUAUUUCAAAUAUAUAAUUUGAAUAUUAAAUUUGGUCAAAA